ACAUGGAUAACCGUAGUAACUCUAGAGCUAAUACAUGCGUCAAAUCCCGACUUUUUUUUAACGGAAGGGAUGUAUUUAUUAGAUCUCAAAACCAAUGCGAUGGCUUCACGGCUGUCGGUCAUAUGGUGAUUCAUGAUAACUUUUGUCGAAUCGCAUGGAUUCCAUUCCGGCGAUAGGUCAUUCAAAUUUCUGCCCUAUCAGCUUUCGAUGGUGGUGUCUUGGACCACCAUGGCAGUGACGGGUAACGGAGAAUUAGGGUUCGAUUCCGGAGAGGGAGCCUGAGAAAUGGCUACCACACCUAAGGAAGGCAGCAGGCGCGCAAAUUACCCAAUCCUGACACAGGGAGGUAGUGACAAGAAAUAACAAUACCGGUCCUUUUUGGGUCUGGUAAUUGGAAUGAGCUUGAUUCAAAUCCCUUUACGAGGAUCCAUUGGAGGGCAAGACUGGUGCCAGCAGCCGCGGUAACACCAGCUCCAAUAGCGUAUAUUAAAGUUGUUGCAGUUAAAAAGCUCGUAGUUGGAUAUCUGGCUUAGGCGGCCUGGUCCGUUUGUCUCUCUUCACGGAGGGGCGAAUGAGUACUGGAUGUUCGCUUUUGCCAUCCUUCUGGAUGUUUUUUCCGCAAGAGAAAGGUGUCCGGAUCUUUUACUUUGAAAAAAUUAGAGUGUUCAAAGCAGGCAUUUUUGCUGUGAAUACGUUAGCAUGGAAUAAUAAAAUAGGACUUUGGUUCUUAUUUUGUUGGUUUCUAGGACCGAAGUAAUGAUUGAUAGGGAUAGUUGGGGGUGCUUGUAUUGAACGGCCAGAGGCGAAAUUCUUGGAUUCGUUCAAGACAAACUACUGCGAAAGCGUUCACCAAGGAUGUCUUCUUUAAUCAAGAACGAAAGUUGGGGGAUCGAAGACGAUCAGAUACCGUCGUAGUCCUAACCAUAAACGAUGCCGACUAAGGAUCGGUGGGUGUUGUUUUUAUGACCCCAUCGGCACUUUACGAGAAAUCAAAGUUUUUGGGUUCCGGGGGGAGUAUGGUCGCAAGGCUGAAACUUAAAGGAAUUGACGGAAGGGCACCACCAGGAGUGGAGCCUGCGGCUUAAUUUGACUCAACGCGGGGAAACUUACCAGAUCCAGACUCAGUUAGGAUUGACAGAUUGCAGAUCUUUCUUGAUUCUGAGGGUGGUGGUGCAUGGUCGUUCUUAGUUGGUGGAGUGAUCUGUCUGGUUAAUUCCGUUAACGAACGAGACCUCAGCCUGCUAAAUGGUCGAGCGAAAGGUAUUUUUUUAUCUUUCGUUUUCAUCCUCGUGGUGAC
rnacentral:rRNA from 1 species